GACGAACGCUGGCGGCGUGCUUAACACAUGCAAGUCGAGCGGUAAGGCCCUUUCGGGGGUACACGAGCGGCGAACGGGUGAGUAACACGUGGGUGACCUGCCCUCAGCUCUGGGAUAAGCCUGGGAAACCGGGUCUAAUACCGGAUAUGACUCCAUGACGCAUGUUGUGGGGUGGAAAGCCUUGUGCGGCUGAGGAUGGGCCCGCGGCCUAUCAGCUUGUUGGUGGGGUGAUGGCCUACCAAGGCGACGACGGGUAGCCGGCCUGAGAGGGCGACCGGCCACACUGGGACUGAGACACGGCCCAGACUCCUACGGGAGGCGGCAGUGGGGAAUCUUGCGCAAUGGGCGAAAGCCUGACGCAGCGACGCCGCGUGAGGGAUGACGGCCUGGUGUAAC
rnacentral:rRNA from 1 species